AUUAAUUAAAAUUCAUAAUUUUGUAUUAAUUCUCAUAAGUUUAUUAAAAACAUAAGUAGACAUGCUACACUACAAACACAAAUAUUCAGGUAACACAUGCACAUGCAGAUGAAGUAUAUAGGCAGCCAUAAGUGCACAUACAUACACGCCUUUAUCAGCACUUACACAAAUGCACCAGGCCUGAGGCCGAUUUUCCAUCAUUACAUUUCCCCACAUCCCUGGGGGUUUUGUGUCGUCUGCUCUCUCUUUUUCUCUACACAAGCUAAGACCUUUAAGUCACCUAUAACGGGGGCCACCAAUCAAUGAGAAGUCUAUCCACCAAGGAAAAGAGCCACACAAGGAAAGAGAGAACCAUUUAAAGCUUGCGAUCUUAAGGUGGUGUAACAGUAAACAUAGGUAGUCUAACCCAGUUGUGACCUUCCAUCUAAUCAGUAUUUUGAAUGCAGCUUGUGUUUACUUUUAAUGCAUGACUAAAAAGCUGCAGAUAAAAUGAUGUUGCUUACUUGAGCAGAUUACAGAGGUACAGGAACGACCCCCACCCCUCCCCCUCGCAAGAAGGUGUCAUUGAGGCAGUAAAGUGCUCCGUGCAAGAGAGGUGUGUUGUUUUUUUCAUGGAAAGCUGUGUGUGCUGUAGCCUGCUGAGCCCAGGCAGUUGGUUGGGUACACCAUGUGCUUGCUGAGCACUGCUGCCGUCUGGCAUGGAUGCUAGCAGUCAUCAGUACCAACGGCUGAUUCGAUUCAAGGUGAUCCACCUCCCACGCGGAUUGGAAGCUGUCACCCGUAAUUGGAGAAAUCACGACAGCACGGAGUUAAGUGCUCCACAGUCCCCGGGUGAAGAAUCUGACGGUGCACACUGCAGCACCAAGAGGAGAUGCAGGAAAAUGAGGAAAAUCUUUAUCACUGGGAAAGAUAAUCCUCUCUCCAUCCACCGAAAGAUCAAGAUUGACAUCAAAGGAGGUCCUGAACAAGUUGCCCUUGGUUGGAACAGCUUUUGCCAUGUUCUUUGGGCUCAUUUACACACUCAACCUAAAAUAUCUGAAAAGGCUUCAAUUCACCUUUAAAAUUAUGCGAAAGGAGCUUGAUGGAAAAAAAUUUAUGGUGUUUCUACAGCAAAGACUUCAUUUAGCAUGGCUACAUUUUCACUUCAGUAUUUACAAAUGUGGUGGCCCACAGCUGGAAGUAGGCAGAGUGUUCUGGACAACUGGAGACAAUGAUUGCAGCGUUUGCACAGAUUUGUACGGCAGAUUUUCAGACCAAGGGAGUGGGACGGGAGAUUUCUAUCUUGAGAACUGACGAGGUUCACACAAGUCAUCUUAAAAUCCUUGAGGAAAUUAAUUUGGAUAACUGCUGAUGUUAAAAAUGUGUUCUUUCAAAUAUUUUUUGCCUUUUAAAUGUUCCUAACUUGUGAUUCCAUCAAGUGAGUGAUACUUACCAACUUUGUGGAAGUUUUUGUUUGAGCUAUUACAUCUAAAUUAACUGUAUUCAAUUAAAUGUAUAGCUAUACAUUUAAAUUAAUACAGUUAAUAAGAUGUACAGCUCUCAAUCAGAAACUCUGUCAGUGUCUUAGACAGAGAAUACUCCUAAGGAGCAGCUCCAGGAUUUGUCUCUUGUGUUCAGCUGAAAGUGAUUUCAAAAACAUUUAAAAGAUGUGCAAUAUUGUUAUAAGGGUGAAAUGUGUUCUGUCAGGAAAGAACUUCCUAAUUAAAUGUUACUACAAAUGUGAAGUCAUCAAAUGACAAUUUAAAUUAAGUUAACACAUUUGUGGGGUUACAGUAUUUUUGUGUUCAAAUUGGUUUAUUUAAAGAUGAACAAAACACAUGGUCCAUAUGCUGAACUAGUAGUUGAUAUUUUUACGCUGUAGCACACACUGCCCCACCACAAUCUGUAAUGUCAGUAACUUUUUUGCCAAAGUCAGAUGUUAGUACAUCCAAAGACCUCACAGAUUAGGGUGGGGCAGUGUGUGCAGCAAGGUGAAAAUAUCAACCAGUAGGGCAGCAAAUUCACCAUGUGUUUAGCUUAUAGUAAUGCUCACACAUCAGAAAACGUAUACUGAUACUGCAUGAUGUCUUAGGAGUUGUGAUACUAUUCACAGCUCCAUGAUUUGUCUUUUGAUGUAAUCAGUAGUCCUUUUCUGGUGUUAAGCUGAAGGAGACUGCUCAUCUUCAUAUAUUUGAAACAGA